ACACCGUUGGAGCCCCUGGAGCUGUCCCUUCGGGGAGAGCAGCUGAGUUGCAGCACGUCCUCUGGAUUCUCUGACAGGGAGCCCGGGAGCCCGGGAGCCCGGAAACGGGCCGAACGGUUAGGAACAACAGCCCUGGUCCAGGGAAGACGUGAGGAGCCCGCCCGGGAUGCAAACCAACGGGGCUGUCCCCGUGCCAACAGGUGGGAGAGACCCCGCGGGACUCGGCAGUUGACUGGAUUUGGAAAGGAAGGCAAUGGAGGGCGUAGAAUAUUAUAGAUUCGUUGUGCAUAAGGGGAAAUUGAGGCGUCAAGCGGUCAGGAGACCUGCCCAAUGUCAUAGAGCUACUACGUAGAGUCUGGAGAGAGCACAGAAUCCUGUGGCACAAAGGGGCGAAUCAGAUCAAUGGCUUCAUUGGACUGAUUUCAGUGAGUCAACCAGUCAACCAAGAGAUUUCAGAGAGUGCUAAAAUUUUGUCAGAAUUGGGGUCCAGCCCACAGAUACAGACUUAAAAACCAAAACUGUGAGUCAAAUGGAUCAGCACCACACUCCACCAGGGUGCUGAUGUCACAGGCCUCUGAGGAAGCUGCUUCCUUGGCAUCGCUCCUGCCGUCUAGUUU